AUUGAACGCUGGCGGCAUGCCUUACACAUGCAAGUCGAACGGUAACAGGUCUUCGGAUGCUGACGAGUGGCGAACGGGUGAGUAAUACAUCGGAACGUGCCUAGUAGUGGGGGAUAACUACUCGAAAGCUGCGCUAAUACCGCAUACGAUCUGUGGAUGAAAGCGGGGGACCGAAAGGCCUCGCCAGAUUGGAUCGGCCGAUGGCAGAUUAGGUAGUUGGUGGGGUAAAGGCCCACCAAGCCAACGAUCUGUAGCUGGUCUGAGAGGACGACCAGCCACACUGGGACUGAGACACGGCCCAGACUCCUACGGGAGGCAGCAGUGGGGAAUUUUGGACAAUGGGCGCAAGCCUGAUCCAGCAAUGCCGCGUGCAGGAAGAAGGCCUUCGGGUUGUAAACUGCUUUUGUACGGAACGAAACGGCUCUGGUUAAUACCUGGGGCUAAUGACGGUACCGUAAGAAUAAGCACCGGCUAACUACGUGCCAGCAGCCGCCGUAACAC
rnacentral:rRNA from 1 species